rnacentral:rRNA from 1 species
UACGAAGGGGGCUAGCGUUGUUCGGAAUCACUGGGCGUAAAGCGCAUGUAGGCGGAUUCUUAAGUCGGGGGUGAAAUCCUGAGGCUCAACCUCAGAACUGCCUUCGAUACUGGGGAUCUUGAGUUCGGAAGAGGUUGGUGGAACAGCUAGUGUAGAGGUGAAAUUCGUAGAUAUUAGCUAGAACACCAGUGGCGAAGGCGGCCAACUGGUCCGACACUGACGCUGAGGUGCGAAAGCGUGGGGAGCAAACAGGG